UACAGAGGUCCCAAGCGUUGUUCGGAUUCACUGGGCGUAAAGGGUGCGUAGGUGGUUGGGUAAGUCUGAUGUGAAAUCUCCGGGCUCAACCCGGAAAUGGCAUUGGAUACUAUUCGGCUAGAGGUUUGGAGGGGGGACUGGAAUUCUCGGUGUAGCAGUGAAAUGCGUAGAUAUCGAGAGGAACACCAGUGGCGAAGGCGAGUCCCUGGACAACACCUGACACUGAGGCACGAAAGCUAGGGGAGCAAACAGG
rnacentral:rRNA from 1 species